ensembl:lncRNA
GAGGUACUGACGGAGGAUGGUAACAGCUGACAGCCUUGAAACACAUACAAAAGGACAAAGGUGUGAAGCGAAUAGCCUGGAGUCCUGGCAGAAGCUACCUGGAAUUGGGUAUGAAGGAGGAAAUUUGCCUAAACUGCAAUUUGAUCAUGUCGUGGAUUUAACUUCUUAGAUGAAAUCAUCUCCCAGUUCACCCUCCAGGAACCACUGAUGACAACUGAAAAAAGGAAAAGACAGUGCUUAAAUAUGAAUGUAUGAUAACCAUUCUCACCAUAUGCUGUAUUGCUUUUUUAAACUACAGAAUCUACUCCCAUAUUCUUAGCAGGGGAAAAGAAAGAAGACUCGCUUCUUUGUCUUUAACGGAAAAGAUCUAAUGGACAAUGUGUUUCCACUUGAUUACAAUAAAACUCAAGUAUUUUGAGAAGGACAAUAAACACAGCCUAGAUUCUUUCAGCUGCUUCAAAAUAGACAGACAAGAUGCCAAGACGAGCUGUUCUUCACUACCAACCACUUCUGAAGAAGAUCAAACCCCUUCAUAUGCUGCCAAUCUCUUUUUAAGCUGGAGUGUAGGGGGCCUCAGAUCAUCUGUAUCUGUGACUACAAAACCCUAAGGAUAACUUCAAGUCUUUCCUGAUGCUUUCUGCCAGAGGCUCCAAGCAGGGACAUUCUCCCCAGCUGUAGUCUAGAACAGGCUUUUUUUACAUCUUGUCCCACCCCUAAUGACCCAAGGGCUAUUGCAUGAACUAUUUCCUGUAUAAUUUCUUCAAAGGCUUUUGGUUGUUCAGGGUCCUGUGUGAAAUCAUUCUUCUCCCAGGGUCAUUUGAUAGAGAGGGUCAGGACACCAUUGUGUUUCUCUUUCUAAACACCUCCUCUGCAAUCUUUUUCUGACUGAUCUCAUUAAACACGAUUGCGAGGGUGAUCAUGACAAAGAGUUAUACUCCUAAUAUAAACUGUUUCA